rnacentral:misc_RNA from 1 species
UUGGCUGCUAUUUCCUGUAGCCUUUCCCCAGGACUCGCUGCCUGUUGUUCUCUCGCUCUCACUGAUGGUGCCGCAGCAUCGCCGUGCCGUGUAAAAUAGAAAACGCAAAGGAGCUUCUACCGCAUUUCCACUCCCUCCCCCAGUGCGGCGACAGUCAGGCACCUGCCUCGAAGCUUUCCGGCUGUUGAUGCCGCCGGGCGGGUGCACGCAGGAGCGGACGCAGACACACACCCACAUAAAAGCUCAUAUAGCGGCAGUGACGGUGGACGUCUCUUCUGAUACUGACUGGUGCUGUCCGCCUCUUCUUUCCUUUUGCCUCUCCGCUUGCUGGUUUCUGCGUAGUUGUCGCGGACUGGGUGGGGGUACUGAACGCAGGUGGCCCAAAGACGUUAAAACUUGUCGAGUGAGACGCGUCAUCGAGCCAGAGGUCGCUGCGCCGUUGCUAUGGCCGCUUUCAUGCGUCUUUCACGCAUAACCGCAUACACGUACACCAUACACCAGACGUGAGGGAGUUUGCAGUCGGCGCGCGUGGGCGCUUUUGUUGUUUACGUGUUUGUGUUUAUUAUUUUUUUUUUUUUUCACAUUUCCUUUUGGCGGUUUAUGCGUUCGUUUCUUCUUUUUUUUUCACCCGCUGAGUGCGUGCGAAUGUGUUGCAGGGAGGGAAGGCUGGCAAAGGAAGAGGGAGCAGUAAUCGAGUGGAUGCCCACGAAAGGCAGCAAAACAACAGGUAAACGGAAAAAAAAGACGCCUGGCGCCGCCGUUUUCGCAGCAGCACCGCUGAACUCUUCGGUCCAGGCAGUGCGGUUGCGUGCUCAUACUCGGACGCGGCGCGUAGUGCAGGUGGGCUCCCCCCUCCCCUCAGCCCGUAUCACCACCAUCGCACGGCGUGCGUUCAUUCGAAUAUCUUUGCUAUCGUGAUAUCUGUCGAAGUCUGUCACCGAGCUCAUUCGGAAAGCUGAGGUGCUGGAGUACGGCUGUUUUUUCUUCGCAGAUAUCGGAUUGAGGGCGCAAGAAACAUGCGUGCGAAGCGCCCGCUCCGUAAGUCGGGGCCGUGCUUCGACCUGGCGGGGCUCAUGGAUCACGCAGCCCCUGAGCUGCAGGUGCAACAGAAGAAUGAGCAGGAGCUCAACAAGUUCUUCAUCGACGUGGAUGACAAUACCGUUUCACCGAUGAUCACGACCGGCCCCAGCUUUUGCGCGACGAACACGGCGGGUCUGUCGAGCAACAACUCCACGGUCGAAUUGACGGCAAGGGAGAUGGCAGGCACCGGCAGCAGCGCGUCGGUGGAGAAGAGGACGAUGGUGUCCUCGCAAAACGAGGCCAAGUUCAUUCACGUCAAUGACACCAAUAUCUUCGUGCUGAUUGACGGCAUCUCGAUGUUUGUGGAAGGAAAGAGUACGUUCACCGGGACAGAAGACGCACGCCUACUGGUAGAACGGCUGCGGCAGAAGAAACUCGCUCGUUCCGUGGACACGGUUCAGGAGGCCAUCUUGAACAUUCAAAUGUCGGCUGACCACUGCGACCGCAAAGAGACAGCUCCGGUGGUAUCUGCCGUCCCCUCCGGCUCCCCUGUUGUGCCAGCAGAAGCAUCGCCAAGGCAGUCCACAGCGAACACUCUCCCAACGAGCGUGCCGCCGCUUCAGAGCGCCGUCGCCCCAACCGCUCUACCUGUGCCGCUGCCGCCCCCAAAGCCGGUCCCCAUCGCGAAUCCGUGGGCGUCGCUGUUUGAAGACGCCAAGGUGCCAUCUGGCUCGCCUCUGUUUCGCUCCUUCAAGGCCAAGUCUCUAGGCAGCACCAGCAACCAUGGUUUUCCUCCUGUGCACAGCACGCUGCUGUGUGAGAGCGCCGAAACGGGUGCCACGCCAUCCUCGCCUGCGACAACGAUUUCGCCUGUGACGGCGACCACCCCGACAUCGGCGUUGUCGCCCACCACGGGCUUCAACGCCUCUAGCCGUCUCACGCACUCCGUCAGCUUCCCCAGUCUGCGUCACCAGGACAGCUCGUCGUCCCUCCUGUCAGCAACCUCGGGUGCCGGCCACCGCCACGGCGGACACGCCAGUCGCGGCGCAGCGGCGCGGCGGACAAAGCAGAUUUCGGCGGAGGAGAUCGGCCACAGCAACUGCUCGCUUGACAUGGAUGAGGUUGUGGUUGAGGCGAUGAUUGGAAAAGGCACUCAGGGAACGGUGUUCCGCGUCCGCUUGGAUGGCAAGUUGUACGCUCUCAAGUGCAUGAACAUUGACGAGGCGAUGAACGCGACGAACGACGUGGAGCGGCAGGGGUACAAGAAAGGGCUCGUGAAGGAGCUGACCAUGAUCACUCUGCAACGAUCGCGCCCAUCGCCGGCGAACCUCAUGCAAAUGUUCAACGCCGUGGCCUCACUCGAUGCGGAGAAGAAGCAGCUGAGCAUCCUGAUGGAGCUGAUGUCCUUCACAGUGGAGAACAUUCAGCAGAUGGUCUCUCGCAUCCCUAGCGAGGAGUUGAUGCGGGUCACUCAGUCGACGUUUCGAAACUACAUGUCCGGCGACCCGUCAGCGAAGCAGUCAAUGAAGGAGUGUUGCAAGGACCAGCUGCUUUACGGGUCUCCGCGGCAUGCUCUGGGCCGCAACACGUACAAGGAGCCGGCCGCAUGGGAGAAGAACGUGAAGCGUGAGACGCCGAUGCCGGAGGUGCUGCUCUCCAUGCUGGCUCGGGACGUGCUGAUGGGUCUGAACGAGCUGCACACGGACUACUCCAUCAUUCAUUGUGAUCUAAAGCCGGCCAACGUGAUGCUCUGCUAUGAUCAACAGAAGUUCAAGCUUGCCGACUUCGGCUGCGGCUCUGUGAUGGAGGACCGUCAGCACGUCGAGCGGCGAGGCAUCGACCUCGGCACGAUACUGUACAAGGCACCAGAGCGGUUCGUAGCGAACAUUUUACACCGCAUCGCCGAUAUCGACGACGGCGGCACCGGCGAGGCGGUGGUGUUCACGGCCAAGGCGGACGUGUGGUCCCUGGGCAUCAUGCUCAUGGAGUUGGCGGCUGGCAUUCACCCCUGUGAUCAGUUCAAGUCUGAUUUCUGGAAUUACAGCACCAUGUUGAAGCUCUCCAAGAUGGUCAAACCGCUCAAUUGGUCGGAGUCGUUUUACGACUUUAUUCUCCGCAGCGUCUGUGUCGAUGUGUCACUGCGAUGGUCUGUGCAGCAGCUCUUGAAACACCCGUUUGUCAUCAAGUUCAAUCACGUGCCGCGCGAGAAGCUGAAGCUGUUCGUGCAGCGCCUGGAGGCCGACAGCAAGACGUUCCACAAGCGCCAGCAGAGCGAGUUGCUCAAGGAGCAGAUCCUGCUCAGCACGACGCGUCGGCACAAGGACACGUUCCAGCUGCAGAGCAGGAAGGUGUGGUCGACGUACACCGCUUAUCUGAAGCAGGCGCCGCCCACCAAGGACCAAACCAUGUUUCCGGAGCUGCGUCACACGUAGCGAGGGCGAACUGGGUGGUUUGCGGUGCGGGUGUGAGGCACUGUUGGUGCGGCCGCAUGGGGCCUCUACCUCUUGGUGUAAUCUUGCACCUGAGACGCUAGAGCGUGUUCGUGUGUGUGUGGGUGUGUGUUUGGUGGCGGUGGGGAGGUGGAUCGUGGAGGAGGAAGGCAGUGCAUGCGAGGCGUGCACUCAGUAGUUUUCACUUGCCGAGAGGCUUCUACGCUGUCGUUACCUUUUUUUUUCUCCUUGUGGUGCGUUCUCUCAGGGGUGGAUCUACCUCCUGCCCCUAUCCGCCUUCUCUCAUGUGUGUUCUUUCCAUUUGUGCGUGAGGAAGCGCGACGGCGGAGGCGACAAGCGCACGUGCAUGCCCACACACUUGCAU